rnacentral:tRNA from 1 species
GUCUCUGUAGCUCAGUUGGUUAGAGCGCUGCACCGGAAUCGUAGGGCCGUAGGUUCAACUGAUUCCUACCAGAGGACC